AUCUAAAUGGCUCCUUAACGCGCUUUUCUCAAACUUCAUUUUUAUAUUGCCAAAGUUUUCUGUCUCUACACGUAAGCAUUUCUUUACCCAAUUAAAAUGUCGGCAGCGGAAGUUCCCGGCGGCGGCGGCGGCGGCGGAGGCGGCGGCGCACAACAAUAUUACUGCUACCAGUGUGAGCGCACCGUCACCAUCACUCCCCCGGCAUCGCCCACCACCGAGCUCGUUUGCCCCAAUUGCAACGGAGGCUUUCUUGAAGAAUCCGACACCGUACCGCCCUCAAACCCUACCAACCCUAAUGAUAACCCCAACCAAUUUUUCUCUGAAAGUUUCCCCUCAGCGCCCUUCAGUCGCCUUCCCAUUAGCUUCUCCUCAGCCACCGGCAACCCACGACGCGCCGCCUUUUCUGUCCGCGGUGGAGGUGGAGGAUUAAACGAUCUUUCUGCUUUGUUUGGAGGCUCCCGAUCCCCUGAUGAAUUUAACCCCUUCGCCUUUCUAGACCAGUACCUGAAUGGUCUCCAGGAGCGUGGUGCGAACGUUCAGCUUGUUUUUGAGGGGCCAGGUGGCGAAGGGAUGGGCCGUGGGGUUGAUUUUGGGCUACCUACGAAUCUCGGUGACUAUUUUUUUGGGCCGGGGUUGGAGCAACUGAUUCAGCAACUUGCAGAGAAUGAUCCCAACAGGUAUGGAACCCCACCUGCAUCAAAGUCUGCGGUGGAUGGAUUGCCAGAUAUAAAGAUAUCGGUUGAGUUAUUGGGAACAGAUUCAUCACAGUGCGCCGUGUGCAAAGACAGCUUUGAGUUAAACGAGGAAGCAAAGCAGAUGCCAUGUAAACAUAUCUACCAUAAAGAUUGUAUAUUUCCUUGGCUUGAGAUGCAUAAUUCUUGUCCAGUUUGUAGAUAUGAGUUACCAACUGAUGACCCAGAUUAUGAUCGAAGAACCAGGCAAGUGAAUGAUAAUAGCAGCAAUAGUAACAAUAUUAAUUUAGGCAUGGCCUCAGGCAGCGGAGAUCAGGAGAUUGGCGCUAACAAUAAUAAUCAAUUACCUAGAACAAUGGAAAGGGGGUUUAGGAUAUCACUGCCAUGGAUUUAUAGAGGGCUUGGUUCACCAGCAGAGACAAGCAACAUCGGAGGUGGAGCUGGCAGUAACCAAGGAGGGAGCAACAGCAACAAUGAUAAUAGUGGGGCAUCAAAUGCAGGCUCUGGAGGGGGAGCACAGGCUAGAGAGGAGGACCUGGACUAGAAGAAACAAAAGAGCCAAUGGACUGGACUACCUUGUCUUGGCCCUGCCCUCAGAUGGUCCAGGCCAAUGGGCUGAGAUGGACCCCAAAUUUUCACAUGAACUGGGCCCAACAUGGCUGGGCAUAAAAAGGGGUAUAGUCGGGCUGCUCCACACGCAUUUUGGAGGCCCGGCCUAUUUGACACCACUUUGCUAACCUAUUUUUUAGAGCCUAGCUAAAUAGCUCUGUGGUUGUCAAAUAUCAUUAUAUUUUGCAAUUUGUUCCUGAGUUGUGAUUGGUUAUAAACAUCUAUAGUUUAUUUUGGUUUGCAAAUUUCUUCCUUUGUUUUUAUUUUUAUUUUACUUUUCUUGUUUUGGUUAGGGUAGGGGGAAAGGAUGGUGGGUAAUUAAGUUUUCCUGUCAUUUUCAUGGAGGAAGUAACGGUUGGGGUUCAAGUUGUGGUUUAUGCAUUUGGUGCUCCUUCCAUUAUUGGGUACAUCUACUUAGAUUGUAAUCAGCUUACUGGUUCAUCAUGGGAUUUGAUUUGCUCAUUUUUGCUCGUUGGAAUUGCUUUUGGAAGGGAGUUGUGUUUUCAAAAUGUGAGUUUGACUGUUCUGAUGGUGGGUUUGACAAUAAUACCAAAGAAGAAACGAAAGAAAAAUGAUGAACAACUUUUACUUAGUCAAAUCACUGGUUUGAAUUGCAUUGUUUUUGGUUCAAUCCAUAUCCCUUCGCUUAUUCUGCCAUUCAGUUCAAAGAGGAAGAUUAGUUAGCUAACCAUUUGUAUAUAUCAAGUUGUGUCUUUAUUUCCUGCUGAAACGGAAUUCUGUAGCUCAUGUAGGAACAACUGGAUAAGGCUACUCUUGCCUCACGUGUGCACACGUGUAUGUGUGCAACAGUCAGAUGUCAAAAAUAUAUUAGUUUGUGACAGUUGUUCAAGGCACUUGGCCUCAGUAACCUUUCUGAGAAGUCAUUGACAUAAAUAAGAAACCUAAGAAUGCUAGACCUAAGAAACAAUAUACAAAGGAAUGGUGAACAAGGGUAGAAUCCGUCUUGUUUUUUCUUAUUACUGGAUAUUGCAGACCGUAAAUUUGUUAAGAAUCAUUUUGGUGUGUUUUAUCAUGUUGGAUUGCUCAGGUGCGAUUGUUUUAAAGAAACAAAUGUUAUUCAAGUUUUCCGGAAAGUGUUAAAUGUUAAUGAUUCUCUUGUUUGGCUAUGCAUGCUUGUUAUAAUUUCUCUGAAUUACUCUUUUUGGUAAUUUGGAUGGAUGGUAGCUUUAUUUAAGCAGCUUUUUUGCUUUUCAAGAACUCUUGUUUGUGCAAUUCAUGCAAUCCAUGUACACAUUUUGAUCUAAUAUUUCAAUUGUGUUUCAGCAGUAUUUGAUUAAAUUUUUGGUAUCAACUUGUUUUGGCAGGGGCAGGGAGGGAGGCAGGACACUGCAUCUGUUUGUAAAGAAAGGAUCUUUAUGUAAAAUAUAUUCAAAGGUGAUUAAAGUGGUAAUGUGAUGUCAAAGGCUAAUCAGUGGCGAAGCAUUCAGAGUUUACGGAUUGAUUAAGCUAUCCUUGGCCUGGGUCUUGACUAUUUUCUUAAAAAAAAAAAAGGGGUUGAACCCCAACUUUGAGGACCCCCCACCGUCCCAUCUCUAGAACUUUGUAAGGGAGAUAAAUCGCGGGAUGUGCCUUAACAUGUUAGGGAACAAGAGCUGCUUGUACACUGCACCUAUAAGGAGUCUAAUUCCAUGUCUCAGGAAUCGAACCUCCACACUUCGGCUACCAGCAAGGCAUGAAUAACUUCACUUCUGUCCUUUGCACCACUAGGCUAUGCCUGAGGGGCGGGUCUUGACUAUUUUCUUAUUUGGUCGAGAUGAGGUUAAUGUAUGCACUGUGUUGUGAAAAUUUUUUUAUUACAAGAUAACGAUAUAGUGAACAAGUAUUAAAGUGAACGUAUGAAUUCUAAUCAUCGUUCCUAGAAAGAUUACUAUUUAACUGAAGGUUUAACUAUUCAUAACUCCUAUUUCAAUAAA